rnacentral:snoRNA from 1 species
UGGGUGUGCUCAGAGCAGGGGGCCUGAAGAAUGGCUCCUCUGUUUACAACACAUUCAACAGUAAUCUGGGGUCAUUGUGAUGAGUGGCACAAAACUUGGGGUUUCCCUAUGAACAAAUGCCCUACACAU